UGUUUAGGUAGCAGUACACGGUAGGAAGCAGAAAUAUGCGAAUUGGCCCCGGUCAAAAAGUGAAAUAUUGGGAAAGGGUUCAUUGUUUUCUGAAUUAAGCGUGGUGGAGAUCAAGAAGGCGUCCGCGGCUCCGAGAGAGUGUGUGUCUACCGUGGUCUGCUACCUUAAGUGGUUCAUUGUUUUCUGAAUUAAGCGUGGUGGAGAUCAAGAAGGCGUCCGCGGCUCCGAGAGAGUGUGUGUCUACCGUGGUCUGCUACCUUAU